rnacentral:lncRNA from 1 species
AACUAUGAAGUUACGGUGUAUAUUUAAAUGGUUCCGGUGAGGUUGCGGUGGAACGUAACAUACCAAAUUUUAUAUAUAAAACUGAAAAUAAAUAAAAAUAGUAUAAGAUACUAUUUUUAUUCGAUUUAGAGAACUGAAAUAUAAGUUGGGAAUGACCUGUGCUGAAAUCGGAGCGAAAACAGAAGAUUUAGAAUUUUCUGUAAGAAACGGGGUAGAUAAAUUAGCAGAAAAUGCACAGUGUCAGAAAAUUAUGAAAAUUGGCAGAGAUGUCAGAAAUAUUUUUAUGAGGCUAGAUUUAAAGUUUCAUAUUUUUCUGACACUCGUAGAGUGAGGAAUAAAAUCCGACAGCUAUUUGAUAAAGAUUACAGUUCGGUAUAGUUUUCGGCGACCAAACGGGGUCGAAACUGAAAACUUAAAAUAUAUUCUUGCUCAGUACGUAAAACCAAACAUGACUGUCAAGUUUGAGCUCAAACGGACAUUCAGGGAGCUCCGGCGAAAGUUAUCAAAUUUCAAGCUGUCUGGAGUGAAUAGUGUUUGAGGGGUAUUAUAA